CCUACGGGUGGCAGCAGUGGGGAAUAUUGGGCAAUGGGAGAAAGCCUGAAGCAGCCAAGCCGCGUGAGGGAAGAAGGCCCUCUGGGUUGUAACCCUCGUUUGCCGGGGAAAAAAACCCGGGACGUGUCCAGGACUGCGUGUAUCCGAAGAAAAAGCAUCGGCUAACUCCGUGCCAGCAGCCGCGGUAAUACGGAGGAGGCGAGCUUUAUCCGGAUUGAUUGGGUUAAAGGGGUGCGUAGGCGGUCCGUUAAGUCAGCGGUAAGGUCGCGGGGCUCACCCCGGUCGAGCCGUUGAAACUGGCAGACUUGAGUUGGCGAGAGGUACGCGGAAUGCGCGGUGUAGCGGUGAAAUGCAUAGAUAUCGCGCAGAACUCCGAUGGCGAAGGCAGCGUACCGGCGCCAGACUGACGCUGAGGCACGAAAGCGUGGGGAUCGAACAGGAUUAGAUACCCUGGUAGUC
rnacentral:rRNA from 1 species